UCAGCUUGKACACACCGCCCGUCACACCACGAAAGUCAUUCACACCCGAAGCCGGUGAGGUAACCGCAAGGAGCCAGCCGUCGAAGGUGGGGGCGAGUGAUUGGGGUGAAGUCGUAACAAGGUAGCCGUAUCGGAAGGUGCGGCUGGAUCACCUCCUUUCUA
rnacentral:rRNA from 1 species